GGCAAACAUCCUCCGAGACUCCAAGGGCAAGGCCAUGGGCGCUUUAUUCCGGCUGCUGCUCCAGGAACGUGGGAAAGCAGCGGAGUUUUAUUCUAGGGGAAGGAAACAAAGGCGGCCGAGUGCCAGCUGCACGUUUGGUGGGAUUUGGUCAUCAGGGGUGGACAUGCUGCCCAAUGUAGCUGUGGGCAGUUUAACCCGGCUUGGUCCGUCGCGUCCUGUUCUAGGAAUCGAUUAUUCAAAGAAGGAAUUUAGAGGGACUGCAGAAAAUGUUACAGGUCUUAACACCAUUUUGCAUUUCCGCAAACGAACAAGAAGUUAAUCCCUGUGUUAGCGAUUUCUAAGCCCAUUUGCCUUGUGGCCCAAGAACGUUGAGCUUGAAAUUUGAUGAAACUUGCCUUAAGGCUCAAGUACGAGGCCAGCUUUCAAAAAUGGUUUUGUGCCUUGAUUGGAUUUAUCGUACUCUACGGCUCUAUUGGUUCAAGCUUAUGCGUUGGGCCUUUUAAAAUGUGUGUUUCCUGAUAAUUCCUGCCUAGUUGUUGGAUUUAUCGUACUCUACGGCUCUGUUGGUUCAAGCUUAUGCGUUGGGCCUUUUAAAAUGUGUGUUUCCUGAUAAUUCCCUUCAGCUUGUCAACUGGGGGUGAUGUGGGGGGGAGAAAGAGAGAGAGGAGAGAGAGAGACUGUACUUGCAGGUUUUCCUUGUGCUAUUCAAUGUUUUGCUUCCUAUGUUUUGAAGUUUUAUUAUUAACUGCAGGUAUCGGUGUUUCAUUACUGAAUAGAUAUAGCCAAAUUCCUUCCCCCAAAAGAUUAUAAAGUUUCCUAGUCCUACCAGCAAAAUCAUUAAGUUCAUUAAGGCAAAUCCCCUCUAGCGCUGGAUGUUGAUGCUGUCUUUAAUUUUGUGUUUUUCUGACUAUUUGUGCAAUUGAGGAUUGUUUUGGUCUAUUGGCCAUUUGGCUUUUCUCUUUUGCAAAUGUUCAUAUCCUUUGUCCAGUUUUCUUUGGGAUGAUUUUUCCUUUUCUUAUCAAUUUGUAAACAGUGUACAAAUUGCAUUGUACAUUAGGGAUAUUAACAGUCUGUCAGUUACACUGUACAUUAGGGAUAUUACAUUAGAGAUAUUAACAUCUUUGUCCAUUAAGGAUAUUAACCAUCUGUCAGUUACAUUGCAGUAUUUUUUCCCAAACUCUUUUUGUCUUUUGCAUUUUAUGUUUUUUUAAAUGUGCAAUUAGAAAAAUUUUAUGUGGGCUGGGCACAGUAAUCCCAGCACCCAUCUCUACUAAAAAAAAAAAAAAAA
rnacentral:lncRNA from 1 species